rnacentral:rRNA from 1 species
UAUCCCGCAAGGGAGUGGAGUCGAGGUGCUGCAUGGCUGUCGUCAGCUCGUGUCGUGAGAUGUUGGGUUAAGUCCCGCAACGAGCGCAACCCUUGUCCUGUGUUGCAAACCCGCAAGGGUGCACUCUCAGGAGACCGCCAGCGAUAAGCUGGAGGAAGGUGGGGAUGACGUCAAGUCAUCAUGGCCUUUAUGUCCAGGGCUACACACGUGCUACAAUGGACGGUACAAAACGCCGCAAACCCGCGAGGGGGAGCAAAUCGUAGAAAACCGUUCUCAGUUCGGAUUGCAGGCUGCAACCCGCCUGCAUGAAGCUGGAAUCGCUAGUAGUGGUAUAUCAGAACGAUACCGUGAAUACGUUCCCGGGCCUUGUACACACCGCCCGUCACAUCACGAAAGUGGGUUGUACUAGAAGUCUGCGCGCUAACCCGCAAGGGAGGCAGCGGCCCAAGGUAUGACUCAUGAUUGGGGUGAAGUCGUAACAAGGUAGCCGUAGGAGAACC